UGUUUCGGCAAGGGGGUCAUCCCGACUUACCAACCCGAUGCAAACUGCGAAUACCGGAGAAUGUUAUCACGGGAGACACACGGCGGGUGCUAACGUCCGUCGUGAAGAGGGAAACAACCCAGACCGCCAGCUAAGGUCCCAAAGUCAUGGUUAAGUGGGAAACGAUGUGGGAAGGCCCAGACAGCCAGGAUGUUGGCUUAGAAGCAGCCAUCAUUUAAAGAAAGCGUAAUAGCUCACUGGUCGAGUCGGCCUGCGCGGAAGAUGUAACGGGGCUAAACCAUGCACCGAAGCUGCGGCAGCGACACUAUGUGUUGUUGGGUAGGGGAGCGUUCUGUAAGCCUGUGAAGGUGUACUGUGAGGUAUGCUGGAGGUAUCAGAAGUGCGAAUGCUGACAUAAGUAACGAUAAAGCGGGUGAAAAGCCCGCUCGCCGGAAGACCAAGGGUUCCUGUCCAACGUUAAUCGGGGCAGGGUGAGUCGACCCCUAAGGCGAGGCCGAAAGGCGUAGUCGAUGGGAAACAGGUUAAUAUUCCUGUACUUGGUGUUACUGCGAAGGGGGGACGGAGAAGGCUAUGUUGGCCGGGCGACGGUUGUCCCGGUUUAAGCGUGUAGGCUGGUUUUCCAGGCAAAUCCGGAAAAUCAAGGCUGAGGCGUGAUGACGAGGCACUACGGUGCUGAAGCAACAAAUGCCCUGCUUCCAGGAAAAGCCUCUAAGCAUCAGGUAACAUCAAAUCGUACCCCAAACCGACACAGGUGGUCAGGUAGAGAAUACCAAGGCGCUUGAGAGAACUCGGGUGAAGGAACUAGGCAAAAUGGUGCCGUAACUUCGGGAGAAGGCACGCUGAUAUGUAGGUGAAGUCCCUCGCGGAUGGAGCUGAAAUCAGUCGAAGAUACCAGCUGGCUGCAACUGUUUAUUAAAAACACAGCACUGUGCAAACACGAAAGUGGACGUAUACGGUGUGACGCCUGCCCGGUGCCGGAAGGUUAAUUGAUGGGGUCAGCGCAAGCGAAGCUCUUGAUCGAAGCCCCGGUAAACGGCGGCCGUAACUAUAACGGUCCUAAGGUAGCGAAAUUCCUUGUCGGGUAAGUUCCGACCUGCACGAAUGGCGUAAUGAUGGCCAGGCUGUCUCCACCCGAGACUCAGUGAAAUUGAACUCGCUGUGAAGAUGCAGUGUACCCGCGGCAAGACGGAAAGACCCCGUGAACCUUUACUAUAGCUUGACACUGAACAUUGAGCCUUGAUGUGUAGGAUAGGUGGGAGGCUUAGAAGUGUGGACGCCAGUCUGCAUGGAGCCGACCUUGAAAUACCACCCUUUAAUGUUUGAUGUUCUAACGUUGACCCGUGAUCCGGGUUGCGGACAGUGUCUGGUGGGUAGUUUGACUGGGGCGGUCUCCUCCUAAAGAGUAACGGAGGAGCACGAAGGUUGGCUAAUCCUGGUCGGACAUCAGGAGGUUAGUGCAAUGGCAUAAGCCAGCUUGACUGCGAGCGUGACGGCGCGAGCAGGUGCGAAAGCAGGUCAUAGUGAUCCGGUGGUUCUGAAUGGAAGGGCCAUCGCUCAACGGAUAAAAGGUACUCCGGGGAUAACAGGCUGAUACCGCCCAAGAGUUCAUAUCGACGGCGGUGUUUGGCACCUCGAUGUCGGCUCAUCACAUCCUGGGGCUGAAGUAGGUCCCAAGGGUAUGGCUGUUCGCCAUUUAAAGUGGUACGCGAGCUGGGUUUAGAACGUCGUGAGACAGUUCGGUCCCUAUCUGCCGUGGGCGCUGGAGAACUGAGGGGGGCUGCUCCUAGUACGAGAGGACCGGAGUGGACGCAUCACUGGUGUUCGGGUUGUCAUGCCAAUGGCACUGCCCGGUAGCUAAAUGCGGAAGAGAUAAGUGCUGAAAGCAUCUAAGCACGAAACUUGCC
rnacentral:rRNA from 1 species